rnacentral:rRNA from 1 species
GCUGUCCGGGACUGAGCUGUCUCGAGAGGACUGCGGACUGCUGUAUCGAGGCCUUCGGGUCGCGGUAUGGCGGGAAACAGUUCAAUCGCAAUGGCUUGAACCG